UUUCAGCGAGUGGCGAACGGGUGAGUAACACGUGGAUAACCUGCCUCAAGGCUGGGGAUAACAUUUGGAAACAGAUGCUAAUACCGAAUAAAACUUAGUAUCGCAUGAUAUCAAGUUAAAAGGCGCUACGGCGUCACCUAGAGAUGGAUCCGCGGUGCAUUAGUUAGUUGGUGGGGUAAAGGCUUACCAAGACGAUGAUGCAUAGCCGAGUUGAGAGACUGAUCGGCCACAUUGGGACUGAGACACGGCCCAAACUCCUACGGGAGGCUGCAGUAGGGAAUCUUCCACAAUGGGCGCAAGCCUGAUGGAGCAACGCCGCGUGUGUGAUGAAGGCUUUCGGGUCGUAAAGCACUGUUGUAUGGGAAGAAAUGCUAAAAUAGGGAAUGAUUUUAGUUUGACGGUACCAUACCAGAAAGGGACGGCUAAAUACGUGCCAGCAGCCGCGGUAAUACGUAUGUCCCGAGCGUUAUCCGGAUUUAUUGGGCGUAAAGCGAGCGCAGACGGUUGAUUAAGUCUGAUGUGAAAGCCCGGAGCUCAACUCCGGAAUGGCAUUGGAAACUGGUUAACUUGAGUGUUGUAGAGGUAAGUGGAACUCCAUGUGUAGCGGUGGAAUGCGUAGAUAUAUGGAAGAACACCAGUGGCGAAGGCGGCUUACUGGACAACAACUGACGUUGAGGCUCGAAAGUGUGGGUAGCAAACAGGAUUAGAUACCCUGGUAGUCCACACCGUAAACGAUGAAUACUAGGUGUUAGGAGGUUUCCGCCUCUUAGUGCCGAAGCUAACGCAUUAAGUAUUCCGCCUGGGGAGUACGACCGCAAGGUUGAAACUCAAAGGAAUUGACGGGGACCCGCACAAGCGGUGGAGCAUGUGGUUUAAUUCGAAGCAACGCGAAGAACCUUACCAGGUCUUGACAUCCUUUGAAGCUUUU
rnacentral:rRNA from 1 species